CGGGGACGGGUCCAAAUGUCUGCUACCAUUGACAGGAAUGUUUGCACUCCAGGUGAAACUAUAUCUGUUAUGGCCAAAAUCUGCAACUCAUCUUCUGAGAACAUGAGGCCCAAAUUCAAACUUAAACAAAAAACAGUGUACCGCAGCAAGUACCACACAAAGAAGUCACUGUUAAUUCUACUAAAGAGGUCGGAGGCACUAUCAGGCCAUACUCAGAGCAAACUGUCUCCUACCAGUUGAAGAUUCCUGAUGAUGUCAUCUUCUCUAUUCAUAACUGUGAAAUCAUCUCAGUUGAAUAUUACAUAAAGGUGUAUCUGGACAUUAGCUUUGCCUUUGACCCGGAGGUGGUGCUUCCACUGGUCAUCGCUCCUUCCAGAUUUGCAGCCAUUCAGCCUGGUGAGGCUGAGGGGCCUUACCCACCUGGGACAACCGAGGCCACAAGUUAUAGUAACUUGGCUCCCCCUGGCUUCCACACUGGAUUAGAUCCUGAACCCACAGAGCCAGG